GCAGUGGUGGUUCAGUGGUAGAAUUCUUGCCUUCCAUGCAGGAGACCUGGGUUCAAUUCCCGGCCAGUGCA
rnacentral:tRNA from 2 species